rnacentral:rRNA from 1 species
AUGAACGUUGGCGGCGUGUCUAAGGCAUGCAAGUCGAAUGUGUAGUAAGCGCAAGCUCUACUACACAUGGCAAACGGGUGCGUAACACAUUGGUAAUUUACCCUUAACUCGGGCAUAACUCGCCGAAAGGCAAGAUAAUUCCCGAUGGUCAUGGGGGGUCGCGAGACAUUCCCAUGUAAAGAUUUAUCGGUUAAGGAAAAGCCUAUGGCCCAUCAGCUAGUUGGUAGGGUAAUGGCCUACCAAGGCAACGACGGGUAGCGGGUGUGAGAGCAUGACCCGCCUCACUGGGACUGAGACACUGCCCAGACUCCUACGGGAGGCUGCAGUCAAGAAUAUUCCUCAAUGGCCGCAAGGCUGAAGGAGCGACGCCGCGUGCAGGAAGACGCCCCUCGGGGUGUAAACUGCUUUUCUCUGGGACGAAUUUUGACGGUACCAGAGGAAUAAGCCACUGCUAACUUCGU